GCCUACACAUGCAAGUCGAGCGAGAUCUUCGGAUCUAGCGGCGGACGGGUUAGUAACCCUUUGGGAACGUGCCCUUCUCUAAGGAAUAGCCACUGGAAACGGUGAGUAAUACCUUAUACGCCCUUCGGGGGAAAGAUUUAUCGGAGAAGGAUCGGCCCGCGUUAGAUUAGAUAGUUGGUGGGGUAAUGGCCUACCAAGUCUACGAUCUAUAGCUGGUUUUAGAGGAUGAUCAGCAACACUGGGACUGAGACACGGCCCAGACUCCUACGGGAGGCAGCAGUGGGGAAUCUUGGACAAUGGGCGCAAGCCUGAUCCAGCCAUGCCGCGUGAGUGAUGAAGGCCUUAGGGUCGUAAAGCUCUUUCGCCAGGGAUGAUAAUGACAGUACCUGGUAAAGAAACCCCGGCUAACUCCGUGCCAGCAGCCGCGGUAAUACGGAGGGGGUUAGCGUUGUUCGGAAUUACUGGGCGUAAAGCGCACGUAGGCGGAUUAGAAAGUUGGGGGUGAAAUCCCAGGGCUCAACCCUGGAACUGCCUCCAAAACUCCUAGUCUAGAGUUCGAGAGAGGUGAGUGGAAUUCCGAGUGUAGAGGUGAAAUUCGUAGAUAUUCGGAGG
rnacentral:rRNA from 1 species